UCUGCACAGCUGCAGCCCGGACCCUAACAAGCCUGGCAUCAGAGCGGGUAUUACUGAGACCCUCAUCUCCGGCUCAUUCUGGCCUGUCAGCCGCGAUUAGCCUUGAGCUUAGAUGUCUGUUUGGACUCUCAUUCUGACGGCACCCAUUCACUGCAGAGCAUCCACUGCUGAACAAGUGAUGCAAUGCUACAUUUCUCCAAAUCUGUUCUGAUGAAGAAACAAACUCAUCUACAUCUUAUGUGGCCUGAGGGAAAUUAAAGAAGGUGGUGGACAAUAAAAUUAAAACAACAGAAGACAAAGCUGGAAUCAACAACAUUAUGAAGGUCAGAAACUCAAGUUUGAAAGAGUAUAAACAGAACUUUGGCUAAAGUUCUUCUAGAGUUCUUUCAAGAUUACUGGUAAAAU
rnacentral:lncRNA from 12 species